UCUAUAAGUAUUUGAUUGAAAUCGAUUUUUAGAAGGAAAAAAAUUAGGGUUUUGAAAACCCAAAUCUCUAUUUUCAUCUAAAAGUUCUCGAUCAAAAUAUGAUCAUACCUUAGAUCUGUAUUCUCCUCAUAUCAAUCUUUCUAUUGAGAUCAAAAUCUCGAAGAAAACCGAAUAAAAUUUUUAUAGGCUUUCUUGAUUGAAAAUCAUGAAAUCUCUUUUUCAUUAUUCUUCAUUGAAAAUCGGUCUUUAGAUCCGUAAUCAGCGUCAUUGAAUCUCUAUUACCCAUAAAAUCAAUUUGAUUCGAAAGUUCUGUUUACUUUUGGAGUCUUCAAUCUGUGCUGGAAAUCAGGAUGAACGGGAGGAGGCCCUGUUUGUUUUCAUCUAUGGAGAAGCAUGGUUUUUGCAAGUAAUAACUGGAACUUGUGAUUGAUUAUCUAGAGUGAGAUGAGACAAUUUUCCAACAAUGAUCCAGCCAUUCUGGAAGCAAUGAGUAAAUAAUCUCUUAGUUUUCCUAUUUGCUUCUGUGUAUUGUUUGUGCAUACUGAUCUUAUCUCUUUUAAACGUUUUUCCAAUUAAUCUAUAUACAGUAGGCAUAAUGAUCCCUUUAUCUAUGUUGACACUGGUAGAAAAUGCAGUUGAUCAAAUAGAUAGACACUUGGACAGGUUUCUAUUCUGCUUCUCUAUUUGUUUUUGUUUUUUUUCCUAUCACCCUAGUUUGUGGUUAUCUAGAUAUGAAUGCAUAUGAAAUAUUUUCUUGGUUAACUAUUACUCAGAUGACAUCUUCACCAUUCGGUAGUGGUGUUCCAACAAUUUUCCUUAGGCCAAUAGCAGCUCGAAUACCUUUAUACGGAGGUAACUUUUUCCUCAAAUACUUGAGUUAGAAUAUUAUUUUACUCCCUCACCAAGAUACAGUAUAAUAUUUUAAUGAAACAAUUGUACUAGCCAGGGUAAUGCCACUUGUUAGAUUUUUUCUCUUCAUUGAUUUAAACCUGUUUAAUGUGUGUAUCUGAAAACUUUUGAGGAUCCCCUCUAGUAAGUUUGAUGCCUCAUCACUUUAAGGAAGGUCAGGGGUUCAAUAUCAACCCCCUCCCCUAUGGAUAAGGUUGGAGGGUGGGAUUGGUAGAGUUGGGGAUGGCAGACUGGGCUAGCUAGGUCUAACUAUGGGGUUCAAUAUCAACCCCUUCCCCUUAUAUGUUUUUCUUCUAUUUGUGACUUGUUCAAAUUUUUGUUGUAACAUAUUUCAUUUUGGAAUGCAGGAUGCGAAGAUUGUUUCCUACUGUAUUGAGAAAUUAACUUACAUUACAUUUUAUACAGCCUGCUAAGCGUAGUGCGUAUACUGGUGAAAAUCAUUCACUCCGGU